rnacentral:rRNA from 1 species
GACGAACGCUGGCGGCGUGCUUAACACAUGCCGGUCGAACGGAAAGGCCCUGCUUUUGUGGGGUGCUCGAGUGGCGAACGGGUGAGUAACACGUGAGUAACCUGCCCUUGACUUUGGGAUAACUUCAGGAAACUGGGGCUAAUACCGGAUAGGAGCUCCUGCUGCAUGGUGGGGGUUGGAAAGUUUCGGCGGUUGGGGAUGGACUCGCGGCUUAUCAGCCUGUUGGUGGGGUAGUGGCUUACCAAGGCUUUGACGGGUAGCCGGCCUGAGAGGGUGACCGGCCACAUUGGGACUGAGAUACGGCCCAGACUCCUACGGGAGGCAGCAGUGGGGAAUAUUGCACAAUGGGCGGAAGCCUGAUGCAGCAACGCCGCGUGCGGGAUGACGGCCUUCGGGUUGUAAACCGCUUUCGCCUGUGACGAAGCGUGAGUGACGGUAAUGGGUAAAGAAGCACCGGCUAACUACGUG